rnacentral:rRNA from 1 species
CGCAACGCGCAGAACCUUACCAACCCUUGACAUGUCUCGUAUGGUUUCCAGAGAUGGAUUCCUUCAGUUCGGCUGGCGAGAACACAGGUGUUGCAUGGCUGUCGUCAGCUCGUGUCGUGAGAUGUUGGGUUAAGUCCCGCAACGAGCGCAACCCUCGCCUUUAGUUGCCAUCAUUUAGUUGGGCACUCUAGAGGGACUGCCGGUGAUAAGCCGGAGGAAGGUGGGGAUGACGUCAAGUCCUCAUGGCCCUUACGGGUUGGGCUACACACGUGCUACAAUGGCGGCGACAAUGGGCAGCGAAGGGGCGACCCGGUGCAAAUCCCAAAAAGCCGUCUCAGUUCGGAUUGUACUCUGCAACUCGAGUGCAUGAAGGUGGAAUCGCUAGUAAUCGCGUAACAGCAUGACGCGGUGAAUACGUUCCCGGGCCUUGUACACACCGCCCGUCACACCAUGGGAGUUGGUUUUACCCGAAGCUGGUGCGCUAACCGCAAGGAGGCAGCCAACCACGGUAAGGUCAGCGACUGGGGUGAAGUCGUAACAAGGUAGCCCUAGGGGAACCUGGGGCUGGAUCACCUCCUUAAGCU